rnacentral:tRNA from 1 species
AGAGCGGCCGGCUGUUAACCGGCGGGUUGCAGGUUCGAAUCCUGCCCGAGGAGCCA